GUGGGAGGCCGGGGAGAGAUCUCAGUCCUCAGCGUCCGGUUGCCAGGCAACGCAUCACGCUCCCCUGGAUCACCCCGGCGCUCUGCGGCAUGACGUCAUCGGCAAGCGCCCGUCGUGGACGGACACCAUGCGGGACGCUGCCGUCACCCGGCUUCUCUCAGCGGCGGGGGGUAUUUAAGUCACCAUGGCGACCACCAGUUUCCUUUAUCCCCUCCGUUGACGGGUCACGUGCCUGCGUUCCAGGCAGCCGGCGCCGGAAGGUGUCACGAGUAGGGAGGAAGUGAGGUGACGGACCGAAGGCGGCAGCAAGCGAAUGGGACCAGCGCGAUGACGUCAUCGGAAGGAGACACGCGGCGACUGAGAGGCGGGCAUGGCGGCCAGGACGGCUUUUCACUAUUUAAGGUCACCAUGGCGACCACCAGUUUCCUUUAUCCCCUCCGUUGACGGGUCACGUGCCUGCGUUCCAGGCAGCCGGCGCCGGAAGGUGUCACGAGUAGGGAGGAAGUGAGGUGACGGACCGAAGGCGGCAGCAAGCGAAUGGGACCAGCGCGAUGACGUCAUCGGAAGGGGACACGCGGCGACUGAGAGGCGGGCAUGGCGGCCAGGACGGCUUUUCACUAUUUAAGUUGUCAUGGUAACGGGAAUCUCACGUCUGACUUGUCAUGUACGUAUGACGUCAGCAAUCAGCGACUCGUGGGCGGGUGUUCAGUCCCGUCCCCACGUCCGCAGCACACAUGGUGAUGUCUUGUGUAUAAA